rnacentral:rRNA from 1 species
AUUGAACGCUGGCGGCAUGCCUUACACAUGCAAGUCGAACGGCAGCACGGGAGCAAUCCUGGUGGCGAGUGGCGAACGGGUGAGUAAUAUAUCGGAACGUGCCCAGUCGUGGGGAUAACGUAGCGAAAGCUACGCUAAUACCGCAUACGAUCUAAGGAUGAAAGCGGGGGACUCGCAAGAGCCUCGCGCGAUUGGAGCGGCCGAUAUCAGAUUAGGUAGUUGGUGGGGUAAAGGGCUCACCAAGCCAACGAUCUGUAGCUGGUCUGAGAGGACGACCAGCCACACUGGAACUGAGACACGGUCCAGACUCCUACGGGAGGCAGCAGUGGGGAAUUUUGGACAAUGGACGCAAGUCUGAUCCAGCCAUUCCGCGUGCAGGAUGAAGGCCCUCGGGUUGU